rnacentral:RNase_P_RNA from 1 species
CUCAGAGACAGUCGGAGCCGCUGCCGGGUUCGCCCGGCGGAGGAAAGUCGGAACUCCAUAGGGCAGCGUGCUGGGUAACCCCCAGCGGGGGCGACCCCCGGGAAAGUGCAACAGAGAGCAGACCGCCACCGGCUUCGGCCGGCGGUAAGGGUGAAACGGUGGAGUAAGAGCCCACCAGUGCCCGGGGUGACUCGGGCAGCUAGGUAAACCCCACGCGGAGCAAGGCCAAAUAUGGAAGCGCUCGAGACCGGCCCGGUCGAGCUUUCGGGUAGGCCGCAGGAGGCGACGAGAGAUCGUCGUCCCAGAUUCAUGGUUCCGCCCGACCCUAGGUCGGGAACAGAAUUCCGCUUACACGUCUCUGAGCGUG